AAUUGUUUGAUAAAUGCCUAAGAAUAUAAGUAGGAUUUUAUAUUGAAUUCUCAGUCACACACAAGGAGCUUGACUUCUCUCAUUUGCUGGUACUAAUUUCUCACUAAUGGUAUUUUGUUUGAAGAAUGUUGGCAUCUGCUAUCAAGCGUGUUGUGAUUGUUGCAUGGAAGCAAUAUGAUUUAUCAACUCUGAUGAGGGGUGAAAUAUGCAAGGUCCUAAGAUCAGGACACGUGGCUUUGCUUGGAAUACCAAAGAUGAGCAGCAGGGAGCAAAGAAGCUGUGAGAAAUAGGCAGAGGAAAAGUCCAGAGCAGAGCUAACCAGAGCAAAGUUGCCAGAGCAGAGCUUCCAGAGCAUAGCUGCCAGAGCCAGAGCUAACCAGAGCAGAGGGCCAGAGCAGAGGUGCCAGAGCCAGAGUUGCCAGAGCAGAGAUGCCAGAGCAGAGUUGCCAGAGCAGAGCUGUCAGAGCCAGAGCUAACCAGAGCAGAGCUUCCAGAGCAGAGGGCCAGAGCAAAGCUGCCAGAGCUAAGUCAUUAAAGUCAGAGCCAGAGCCAAGUCGCCAGAUCCAGAGUCAGAGCUAAGUCAUUAGAGUCAGAGCCAGAGCCAAAUCGCCAGAUCCAGAGUCAGAGCUAAGCUAUUGGAGCCAGAGCGCGGAGCCACAUGCCAGAGACAAUUCGCCAGAAGGCGGAGCUACUUAGCAGAGCGGAGCCAAAGAGUAGAAGUCUGCCCCAAGGAAGGAAAUCCAGAGCGGGAUGAUGA
rnacentral:lncRNA from 1 species